rnacentral:rRNA from 1 species
CCUACGGGGGGCUGCAGUGGGGAAUCUUGCGCAAUGCGCGAAAGCGUGACGCAGCAACGCCGCGUGGGGGAAGACGGCCUUCGGGUUGUAAACCCCUUUCAGGAGGGACGAAGGUUCACCGGUGAAUAGCCGUGUGGAUUGACGGUACCUCCACAAGAAGCUCCGGCUAACUACGUGCCAGCAGCCGCGGUAAUACGUAGGGAGCAAGCGUUGUCCGGAAUCAUUGGGCGUAAAGCGCGCGUAGGUGGCCACAUAAGUCCGUUGUGAAAGUCAAA